CCGGCAGAGAAUAACUGUGCGGCAGCAGGGUUUUAGGUCUUCAGUCAAUAGCAUCUCCUCGUUUUUACAGUAGAAACAGGGCUUCCUGCUGACAGGAUAUACUCCGUGUACUCUUCAUGGAUAAAUCCAUGUUUAUUUCUUAUUCCUAAUUAGAUUUAUGAGUAAGAUUUGCUUGACAGCUUUCAUAUUAUACUAGGGUGUGUCUGAGGUGCAGGUGCACGGGAGGCAUAACUACCAUUAGGAUCAAUCCCAGGGGAAUAAAAUCCUUAUGGUCAGUUGUUGUCUUUGGCUCCUCCUCGGUUGGGAGUUGCAAGGCUCGAGGGUGCAUCAGCCAACUUCACGGCUACAAGUGUACCAGCCCACCCUGUGAACAGCGUCAGUCCUGCUGCAACAACAUCAAGAAUGGGACGAGGUGGGAACCUGGGACACCUGACUCUUGUUGCUCCCAAGCACAAGACACAGCAGGUGCAUCUGGAUUCCGAGCCUUUUUUUAUUCGCUUUCUGCGGACAUUUAGGGAAAUCCUCAAAUUUGUCCUCUUCAGCUACACUGUGCUCUUUGGCUCCUUACUUCUCGCCCGUUGGACCACUUACUACAUGGUGGGAAAGUAAAAAGACACAGAGAUUCAACUUGCACUUGGAUGAGGAGCUCUUUAUUCAGAUUGAAGAUACUUUAUUUGGGAUUCGAAAUAAGUGUCAAUGUUUUUUCCUGCUUAAUACUUGCUACUUGAUUCCAAUCAAUAAAAUAUGAUAAUUUGGUAAGAACUGUGCACUCAUCCAAACUUGCUGAUGCCAGCUAAAAGAGCAGAAUUACAACAAUUUGAAUUGCAACUUUGCUUCUGAUGUGUUGGUGUGUGUAUUCUUCAACUUUUAAUGCAUUGGAACGUGAUCACAAUAAAUGUUAUAUCUGUCUGCAGUCAAAAACAUACAGUACAAAAA